CCCCUUGUAAGGUUUCAUUCUUGAAGGAA
rnacentral:piRNA from 1 species